AACCUUUGUUAAAAGCCUGUUUUACCCAGAGCCUAAUUGUUGGGCCUGAAGUUCAUGGCUUUUUUUUUUUUUUUUUUUUUUUUUUGGUGAAGUGGAAUCUCUUUGUGUUGGGAUGGCUGAGGGUGACGGGCCGAUGGUUCAGGAAGGAUGCUCCUCUCAAGGAUGCUCCUCUCAUGUGGCAGCUCUGGAAGCUCUGCUGCUGGAGUUGGGCUGCCUGCUCUGCUCCCAUCAGAUAGGCUGCUUCCCUCCUCCCGCACCGCUCGUGCCAGAUGGUCCCAGGUCCGCUCUGGGAGUUCCUCUUAGCCUGCCUAUCCUUCUUUUUCACUUUUUAUCUUUCCAAAGCAUUUCAGUUCCUGACGAGACUGUGUUUUAGCAGCACUGCAGUCUGGGGGAAGGGCAGCUCACACAGGAGUCCAGAAUGCAACCUGCUCCUUGUGAAAUACAAGUGGGCCACAAGGCUUUACUGGUGGUGUGUUGCGUGUUGUUAGUGCAGAGCAGCUGCAGAUAACUGAGAGGAGUAAAGGCCAAAUCAUCCAUUUUUAGGGGUUCAGAGCGUUACAGCUCCAAAGGCAUUCUGGACAUUUUACUGCAAUUUGGAUGGUGUAGAAGUUGCUGCUGGAGGAGUGCGUUGGAAGGGAAAGGAUGAAUGGGUUUGCUUUGGGCAGGUGUGUUGCUUUGUCAUUAACAAAGGCAUUUCCUGAGCUGGCAGACUCAGGGCAGGCACCAAGACAGGUGGAAAGAUUUUGUCCAAGGGGGGACGCUCCCAGCAGUCACAGCAGAUGAGGAGUUGUCUGUAUGGAGGGUGGGAAAAGGCUUUUGGAGCAAGGCAGGAAGGUUGGGGCUGGCAGAGGUGGACGGCCAAGGUGCACCUGUGCUGCUGUUUGAGUGCCUCAGCAUCUGCACGGGUGCUGGGGGUGGGGGUGGCACUUGGAGAAGCCCACAGAUCCCAGUGGCAGAGCCUCUGGCAGAGCCUUUGCCACGGGGAGCUGAGGGGUGUCGGGCAGCUGGUCCCAGGGGAUCACGGGGUAGCUGGGGUAGCUCUGCUAGUCCCACCUCUGCAGUUCUGUGUCUGAAGCCAGAUGAGAGGUUGUGUGUUUUGGGAAAGUUGGAGCAUGCCAUUCCUAUCUCUAUAAAAGUAAUAACCAGCUCUGUAGCCCGUUUGAGGCAAAAUAUCACAGAAGAGAGAGAGUAGAAGUCACACAGCGAGGAAUGAGACAUGCUUUCAUGGAAAAACGUCAGCUGGAGAUUAAGUGAGAAAAGAUAAAGAUAUAGGAUUUCUGGCCCUGCUAUCUGUCUUUUGAAUGUUGACUGAUUAAAACAAGGCAGAGUGAAUGGCUGGAUAUCCCCAAACAAUGUUUCACUGUCCCUCUGCAGAUCGAUACUGCUGGUGCUCCUUCUCCUGGAGAGGGGACCUGGUCGGGAGCCUUUUGCUCUGGAUGGCACCGUGGCCAGCCAAGAUGGAGCCCUGUAGAUUUUGGCUGUGUGUGGGUGUUGUCUCGUUUUGGGUGACCAGGACUCUGUGCUGGAUGUCCCCAGGGCCGUGGCAGUGUCUGCAGUAGCUCUGCAGCCCAUGUCGGGCGGGUGGUUCUGCAGCGAAGUUCUGUUCCUGUGUGACGUAGCUUGGGUUUGUCGUGGAGCACAGGACCUGAUCUGGUUUGGGUUUAACUGAUGCAAAAGAGAAGAUCUACCAGUGGGUGUAAAUUCAUCAGACCAAGUUAGAGAUUAAAAUAUCCAAAACACAGAUAAUGUGACUGUCCAGUCCUGUGCGGGGACUGCUUUGCUCUGGCUGUGCUGACGGCUCUGAAGACAUGGCCCCAGGUAAAACGGGAGACUGCCUGGGUGGAUGGCCUGGCCACUUCUGCACUUUGUCUUGAGCCUUAGGUUCAUGACAUGAUCCUUUCUGCAUCAGCCAUCAGCUGGGAGAGCACUUGGUUUGAGUGGGAAUUUGCUGGAUCUCCCCAGCAGGGAAUUCUGUCUUAACUCAGAUGAUUCCUUGGCUUUUCUGGUCAUCGGUUGGUUUGCUGUUCAUCCUGAUGUUAGCUUUGCAAAAAUAAACAUCUUAGCCCUUUCUGAGUCUUAGGCCACGUAGCAGACUGAAGUGCAAAGAGGACUGGCUGCAACACCAGCUGUGGGAGUUUGUGCUGAGCCUCCUGGGCUGUGGUGCUGAAGCAUUUUUUUCUUGAAACACUAUCUUGAAAUAUGCAGGAGGCCAAGAAAAAAAAAGCUUCAUUCUUUCUGUCAGAGAUCUGAGAGGUGAGAGAUGUGAAUUUACUUCUGCAGCGAGAAAGGAUGGCUAGCAAGACCUUGGAGGGAGGUGGCUGUUGUGGGACCUGUCCUCUGUGUGCCACGGGGAUGGCAAGUGCAUGUGUUGGAGAGACUUAGACAGCUUUUCUGGGAAAAACCUCCUUAUGUUGAAAUGUCAUCCCAGGCAUGAUGUUGAUUUCUAUAGAGAGUUGCUUGUAAAGGUGGCUUGCACGUUGCAUCUGAAGCCCUGUGACCACGUUGACCCCAGUGGGUUUGGAUUUGAUACUGGACAUGGUGCAGAGACUGUGCGACAGCCCCAGUGAGUGAACAUCUUGGCGCAAGAGAUCACGUGUCACUGAUGCACCUCAGGGUGCAGAGGUGGCACUGUCAUUCUUGCAGGAAGGUCUGGGAGCUGAGCCUGGGCUCUCAGACAUCAUCAUCAUCCCCCUGGACCGAUGCAGGGCCCAGCAGUGGCACAGGGGCUCUGCUGUGGGGUGACCCCCACGGGCAUGGUUUGAGCUCCUCUGUGGCACCACUGUGCUCAUGUGGCCGGUGCUGAGAGGAGGAUCUGUAUCAUACGUGCCUGGGUAGUUUCUGUUGCUGGGAGCUGAGGGUCAGUAAAUGAGCAGGGGUGGUUUUUCCAUUGCUGGUGAAUGUCUUGGAUGUGCCACUCGGGCCCAAACCACUGGCUGCCCAUCGUGUCUGCGGUGCCCUCCAGCUGGGAUAUUAGAGAUUUGGCAGGUUUUGCUCUCACUCUGGGUAGAAAGGCAGGACAGUGGUUGUGCAUCGGGCAGGACCUGUCUGUUAGGACACUGGGGAGCAGCACUGCCAUUUAAGGGUGUCUCUCUCCCCUGGGCUGGGCUUGCUCUAGCGUCUCCCUGGGGAAUAUGUUUUAUUUCUCUGUGCUCCAUCCCAGUUGCACAGCAGUGCAGUGCAGGCUGAUGGCUUUGUUGCCCGCAGUCUCCUGAGAUUUGGGACCUGCCUGCGCUUGCCUUUUGCUCAGGCACUCCAUAUGGGCAGAGGAGCUGAGACCAGCAGCUCCUGGGGGGUGAGUCUGCACUGGCACAUCGGCAUCAGCCCAUCCAGGCUCCUCAGAACUAAUGUGAGGGUCGAGAGGUGAGCACUGGGGUUUCAGGGACCAGCUCCUCUCUCUGUGUCAGUCCAGCAGAAGCAGGUCCACCUGUCUCACUUUUGGGCGAGCUGAUCUGUCAGUAUUUCAAGAAAUGCCAGGGCUAGGAAUCAUGGAGAAAGGAUUUUGUGAAAUCUGGUAUUUAAACCUCCCACUCGAGUGAUGCUGAGGAGAGCUGGCAACGUAGCAUUGGCUUAUCAGGAGCUGUGUGGGCAGGUCAGCUUAAGAAUAAUGUUGUGUGAGCAGCACCAGAGGUGAAGGAAAGAAGCCAGUGUCUGGUCAGGUACAGAGUUUAAAUGGGGUCAGAAUUUCCUUUUAUUAAAAAGAUUGUUUUAUUUAAAUAAUAAAUGACAGUAGGAUCACCGUUGCCAGGGGCUGCUGAAGGGCAACCAGGCAGGUCUGAGCAAAGUAGGGACUAGAGGCUUUGAAUUAUUUUCUCUCAUUAAUAACUCUGAACUAAGCACUGCAAAUUCAUGCAAAAGUCAUCUCUGCUUUCAUGCAUGCAAACAGUUUGGUUUGUGGAUAGGUCUGCUGUGUUCAGAGGCUCAUUCCAUCUUUUAAAAAAAAAAAAAUUGGCUUCUGAGCUGCACCUGUCAAUAAAAGUCCUGGAAAAUGAGUCCUGGCAGGCUUUUCCAAGGCCGUAUGUAACUUAUCUUGUCCAAUGAAAGUCUCUAAUUGGUGGUUUAAAGUAAUUAAAAAAAAGAAUCCGUUAACGGUCAGUCUAUUUUUAGUUUAAAGGUUGGACUUUAUAUGGUCAUAAAGCAAAAUUCUUUGCUUAAUUAUGGGAAUUGAAAUACAUUGGCUUAAUUGCACUAGGAACUGCACACAAGAGUGCAGAGAGGACACGCUUUACCAGUGAUUAUCUGCCGAUAAAAUACUACACAGAGCAACAAGUGGAGGCUCUCCAGGCUCCAGAAAGCAUCCUGAGGCCAGAACUGCUGAGCUGGUGGGGAAGAGAUGGCAUCAAAUCCUCUGCAGAUGGUCAGGGUCCAUUCCCACCAUGGCACUGGCUGCCUUGCCUUGUAUCUGUGGAGACUUGGAACUGGACGGGAUUAAAGGGGCGAUUUAUGACUAAAGGCUUGGUUGAGGAGUUGGUUUGUGUUCUGGAGAUGCCUCCAGAAGCUGGGCAAGCAGCUGGGGGAGGUUUGAAUGGCAGAGGAUUUUGUGGUGGGACAUACAGGCUCCUGAUGAUGAGGAGGUCCAUCUGCUCAUUUGCCUCUUGAGUGGAUAAGUCCUGGAAGGUGUCAGAGUGUUUGGGGCAAGCCUGGGGCUGUCGUUCCUGAAGCUGAGUUACCUGGGAAGCUAAAUUUGGGAGCCUGGGAAGAAGAUAGAAUUUCGGACAUGGCAGUACCUCUUCCUGAAGUCUCAGGGUGUGCCUGGGAAAAGGAUGUGAUGAGCAGGUGAAGUGAAGAGCCACAACUUCACAGCAUGUGCUGGUUUUCACUUCAGCCAAGGUGUCCCUUGACUGGUGGCAUGGGAAGUGGGCAGGGUUUUGGGAGGAUGGACUGAACACAGCGCUGGUGGGAGGCUGAUUCUGUCGGGGCUGUUCUGUGUGGGGUAUGUGGAGGUUGAGGGCAGAGUUGUGUGCACAGGAGGGACAACCAGCUGCCAGGCUGUGGGCUGGACUAAGGGAUGGGCACGUCUGUGUGGAAACAUGAGACAAAAAUAGUUGUUGUAGACUGCUCGGUGGGGAAAAAAAGAUCUUGGCACGGCUUGUCUGAUUGAAACAUGGUGGGGGUGAUAAAAAUCAAUAAGAUACUGCAUUACCUGCCAUCACACUGUACUGAGCAGGUGUGCUGGGCCAUAAGGGAAGAACACUACACUAAAAUUUGCUGUAAAAUCUGAGAGGAAAUUGGAGUAGUGGCGACCAAACAGCCGCAUGUAUGUUGGAUAUAAAUUCUGUAUUUUAAUGACACAGAGGUAUUAGGAAGUUUUCUAUUCCAGACAAGAAGGAAGUUGUGGAUUUCAUGGGGCUUGGAAGAAAACUAAGGCUCAUGCAUCUUCAUAAACCUGUAAGAAAAAGUAAAUUCCAUUAUGACCAUGCUAUCACAGAUUGUUUGGGAAGGAGCUGGCUAGCAUUUUGGUGAGCAAGCAUCUCAAUUUACUUAAAGGAUCAUGUCUUGUAACAGCCUGGUCUACAGUAAGCCUUGCUUUAGGACUAAGACAUCAGAACUGGUUCAAGAUACAAUUACUGUUGAGUUGUUAAGUAGCAGGGACCACAGUACAGGUUCAGUAUCCUCAGGAGUAGAAGGUGGUGGACUAAAAAAAAUUACUUGCGUUACAAAAUAUUGCAGGGGAGAAAAUCAGAAAAUAACGUCCUUGGACUUGUCAAGGCAGCUCUGUAGAUACCUGGAAAGGUUACAGGCAUCCAGGUGAGACAGAACUCUGUCAUGAAGGAGCAAAGUAAAACAGUUGUUAAAAAUAUUUAUAAGAAAGGGACUAAGGACAGAAGUCCAGGUCUUGAGGAACAGACUGAAAGAGCCAUGGAGUAGGGCAGCUAACCAUGAUCUGGAAAUAAAGCAGUUUUGAAGGGGCCCUGCAGAGCAGGGGACCUGGAGGAGUGAAUCCUGUCUGAAGGACAUCAGAGAGAGGGCUGGGGAGAAAAUCUGGGCGUGCAGGACUGAAGACACAGUUCAUUUCCUGCACUAGUUCGUGCUGCUGAAGUGACUUCCCCAUGUCAUUCAGGAGCAAGUUUGAGGGCCUGCCCUCACCCCGUCCCUCCGAAACUCAAGUGUUUGAGGUAGAGAUGCUGGAGCAAAGUAGGAAAUUCAAGUGGAAGAGCAACAGGUUUUAAAAGAGCUUGGGAAUGAAACACCAAAGGUACUAGCAAAAAUAGGGCUGUUAAAAAACAGCUUAGUAUUCUCCAUGACUAGAUAACAUUCUAAUGUUGGCUUAUUGUUUUUUUUUUAAUUAAAGUAUUAAUGGGGGCACUGGGAAUUACAGAUCAGCCCCCCCGAACUCUGGUUUGAGAAGGAGAAGCUGAAACGCUGUAACUCUUCAGUGAGUGAGAGGGGGAAAGCAACACACUUUCUGCAAAGAAAGGGGUUGGACCAGGUGGUCUUUGAGGGUCCCUUCCAACCAAACCAUUCUUUGAUUCUGUGAUCAAUCUCGUUUUCUGGGCCAUCUACCAGAAUCUUUGGACACACUGACAAAUAGCAGGAGGUGAAGAAUGAACUGAUCUUUAUUUGAGUGUUUUAAAAGGUUUUUAUCAAGUGCUUCCAAGAAGGCAUUAAAAAAUGUGCUUUUAAUGAAAAGAGAAAUAUCACAGAGUCCUUCUUUGGUUGCAGUUGAUGUUGAUCAAUUGUCUAGUCUGGUUGGAGAAGGUGAUCAAAGGCCUCCAAGUCUGCAUCUUCAGCCUCUGAGCAAAUGAGUUUCCUUCCAUGGUUUCAUUAAACCCAAAGUUGCUGGGUGGUGGAUGGUUGAUUUUCAUUAAACUUUUCUGGUGGACACAACUAGGUCCAGGCUGCAACGUCUGGUUGGGCAAAGGGGAGAAACAAGCCCAGAAUACUGGGUAGCAUGGGAUCUGGAUUUGUCCUGUAAUGCAACACCCCCAGUUCAAAUUCCUGCCCUGAGCUGGACUUGCAGGUCUGCCAGAUCCCAGAGCGUGCCUCAGCAGCUGAUGUUGUGGGUAUGUUCUGUUUAGUUCUGUUUUGACCAAGAAAAAUCCUAAAAGGUUUUGGUUUUGAUGAUGGGCAGAAAGGGAAGCAGCAGGGAGAGAGGCCUGGACAGCAUCUUCCAGGUCUUUUCCUUGCAGGAGAGUUGUUGGUGUGUGUUCUCAUGCAGACCUGUGUUGCCUCCCUUCCCAAGAGACCCCAGAGGACCCACAGGUAGCUGGUCUCAGCCAGAGCCACCUUUUGUUGCUCUGGCUUAAUUUUAGUCUUCUUGAAAGUCUAGAAGCCAUGACAGAUACCCUGGCUUCUCCCACCUUCCCUGUCUCCAGUAGAUCACGGUACCAGAGAGUGAGUGCUUUGAUAAGUUGUUGGAGUUUGCAACAGGAGCAGGUUUACUGCAGGUACCACGAGGCUUUUGGUCAGAGUUCAUGUUUAAAGACAAGAACUGGCAGCUGAUGGAGCAGAAUGGUUGGGUUAUAUUGGAGAAGUGACUCCAGCCUGGCCACGGCUGGAAAAUUAAGAAGAGCACGAUAAUGUCUGGCUGUGCUGUGAGCAUACAGCAGUGGGGCUGAUCCUGGGAAAGGGGGGGGGAAAAGCAAUUUUUAAUGCUCCACCAGUAUUGCUAGGCCGUAAGUGAGCUGCAAAAUUGAAGAAUAUCACACUCUGUUAGCAGAGCAAAUGAAGUGAAGGUGUGUAGCCUGCCACAGGAAUCCUGCCUAUCCCAGGUCUGUGAGGCUGCUGAGCUGAGCCUGUACCACAGCUCAUUAGACCCCCACGGUGUCCCUGUGCUGUUCUCCCUGGUCAUCUCGGGUGGUUGUCACCGGCACAACCUUUGUCCCUACUCUCUAGAAAUUCCUUAGAUUGCUCACUUCUAGUUAAAUUAUACCAGCUGACUUUGAAGUACUCAAUAUAAAACUGUCGUGGUAUCGCUUGCAUGAUAGUUAUUUGAUGUAAGAAAACAAUUUCUCGUGCUCUCUCUUUAGGAAUUUGGGCUUCGAGUUUUCAGUGGGGAGUGUUGUACGUGCCCAACUGCACAGGGUCGGGCCCAUCUCUGUUUUAAAGCGUUAUUUCACAUCUGAGAUUAGAAAACAAACCAGAAGAUCAAGUUGUCACAGGCUCAGAUGAUCAUAGUGACUCGUGCUAAAGGCUCCGUCCUCGUAGAGACCUGCACGGCUGCUUUGUGUAACUGCUGUCAGAGCUCUGGCGUUUUGGUGAUAGUGUUCCCUCCUAAAUGUUCUGAGUAUACUCGCCUUUAAAUCCUGUUAGGUACCGAUAAUUAUCUGUUGGUAUUCUGUACAUUAGCUCUGUACUAGCAUUCACGUUGGACUAGGCUUAAUAUCGUGAGUGUCAAAGAUGACUUGAAAAAGGAAAACUUAAUUUAUACCCUUUCCCUGUGGUUCUACCCCGUGUAGCGGGCGGUUUGUAGAAAUACCAGGAGUGCUACAACUGUCUUCCCCCUUUUACUUGCUGUGAUUCUCUGCAGGAGAAAAUACAGAUUUAAAUCUAUUUUUCCAUUCUUUGGAGACGCUGAGAUAUUAUCAUGGUGAGGUCCGUGGAAAUACCCAGACAAACUGGGCCAUCAUGCAGAGAUAAGGCAUCUUUUCCAUUUGUUUUUUUUUUUUUCUGCUGUCCAUUCUCCAACCUUUUUUUUUUUUUUUUAAAUGUAAAACAGUUAUUCUCUCAUCUGUCCAGUGCAACAUCCUCUAGGAUAUUUGUGGUCUUCCAGAAAAGGUAGACAGGACUGGAAUAACUAAUGCCAAAAAAUUGCCCACGGCAAGGGAGGGAAAUCCUUGUUUUCAAGACAAAACCCUAUCCAGGCCUUUUUCAGACACCCCUCAGCACACCACAAGGGUAUAAAUCCCGACUUUUUCUUUUCCAGGUGAUCUUUGAGGCCAAGUAGCAGAGGGCAGGGGUUUGCCCUCCCGGCGGGGCUCAGCCCCGGCACAGCCGGGGUUCCGCAGGUCCAAGCCCCCGGCACCAAGCUGACUUUUACCAGUAAAUAUCGGUUUAUUCCUGAAACCAGAAGCCCUAAACAUACCUUUGUUUAUAAGUUUUCCUGCUCUGCAUCUCUGGGAACUGGAGCCCGCAGGACCUAGAGCCUUCUGUUGGUAACGUAGACCCGAGUUUACAAAUUAUUCUUUUACCAUUUUAAAUCCUGCUUUUAAGGACAGAGGUGUUCCCUCCUGCCCACCACGGGAAGUGGUAGAAACCCGUGCAAAUGCCCAAAUUGCUCCUCCUCUCCGAAGCCUGCGGCCUGGGUGGUUCUGAUUGCUGGCAGUUCUGUAAUACAACCUUAAUCUGAGCAGUUGAGGCUGGUCCUACCUUAUCUUCAGACGUCUUGCGGAGGACUCCUGUUACCAGUUUGGUACUCAAAAGCUACACCCCACCAUCAGAAGUCACUUUUUGUUUUUUUCCAAAGGCAGUGAUAGCUCACCCUCUCUAGCUCUAAUGGAAAACAUGAUAAUUGCAAUGCAACUUUCUAAUAAAUUGUUCAUAUAUUCAUAAUUCCGUUGCAAUCCCAAAUUGGAGAAGAGAUCUGUUAAAGUGCACUGGUGUACCAAGGCUCAGAACCACUGCUUUCUCCAGCUCAUAGGAUGCUUUUCCAGACUGUGGAUACGUGUAUGUGUACUGCUGUGUUGAUAAGUAAAAACCAACGAUGGAGUUCGUUGCUUUUAUACAUCCCAAAGAGAAGUUCUCCACCGUUCCCUGUCUGUUUUCUGACCGAAAAGGCGUGUUUGUGAACAGUGUUCACGCGAGCUCUGCCAUCCCACCCUCACAUCAGCUCACACCAAUGCCAGGAUGGGAGGAGUUGCCAGCGGACCUUCCCCAAAAACACCCCGGGCCCGCAGUGGCAUCGUCAGGGAGCAGUUCAAACCUGUGUCCUUUGGGCUUUGUGUAAAGCAAACGCAGAACGAGAAAAAUCGAGAUGUUAAAUCCAUUAGAAAACCAAUUCCUUAUUGUACAGUAGUAUGGAGAUCUCUAGUCAACCUGCCAUUAAUAAUAGAUUCUUAUUUUUUGAAUGAUCUAUUUAAAAGAACAGCAAGCAUUGUAUUUGCUAGUAAAUCUGAAGUGUUUACAUGGAAUUACUAAAUAAAUUAUUUGAUCUAA